GAGAGAGAGAGAGAGGAAUUGGGAAGAGAGGGGGGUAGGGUGAAGGAGAGAGAGAGAGAGAGAGAGAGAGAGAGAGAGAGAGAGAGAGAGAGAGAGAUCAGGCGGAAGAUGUGGGGGAGAGAGAGAUCAAGCGGAAGAUGUGGGGGAGAGAGAGAUCAAGUGGAAGAUGUGGAGGGAGAGAGAGAGAAAGAGAGAGAGAGAGAGAGAGGAAUUGGGAAGAGAGGGGGGUAGGAGAUAGACAUAGAGGAGUGGUAGAGAGAGAGAAGAGGGAAAAGGACCAGAGAGAGAUGGAGAUACAGAGAGAGAGGGAGAGAGAGAGA
ensembl:lncRNA